AUUGAACGCUGGCGGCAUGCCUUACACAUGCAAGUCGAACGGUAACGGGCCUUCGGGUGCCGACGAGUGGCGAACGGGUGAGUAAUGUAUCGGAACGUACCUUUCAGUGGGGGAUAACGUAGCGAAAGUUACGCUAAUACCGCAUAUUCUGUGCGCAGGAAAGCAGGGGAUCGCAAGACCUUGCGCUGAUUGAGCGGCCGAUAUCAGAUUAGCUAGUUGGUGAGGUAAAGGCUCAUCAAGGCGACGAUCUGUAGCGGGUCUGAGAGGAUGAUCCGCCACACUGGAACUGAGACACGGUCCAGACUCCUACGGGAGGCAGCAGUGGGGAAUUUUGGACAAUGGGGGCAACCCUGAUCCAGCCAUGCCGCGUGAGUGAAGAAGGCCUUCGGGUUGUAAAGCUCUUUCGGCCGGGAAGAAAUCGUAUCAGCUAAUACCUGGUGCGGACGACGGUACCGGCAUAAGAAGCACCGGCUAACUACGUGCCAGCCGCCGCGGUAAUAC
rnacentral:rRNA from 1 species